rnacentral:misc_RNA from 1 species
GAUGAAGAACGCAGCGAAAUGCGAUACGUAAUGUGAAUUGCAGAAUUCAGUGAAUCAUCGAGUCUUUGAACGCACAUUGCGCCCCCUGGUAUUCCGGAGGGCAUGCCUGUCCGAGCGUCAUUGCUGCCCUCAAGCACGGCUUGUGUGUUGGGCUCCGUCCCCCGAUCCCGGGGGACGGGCCCGAAAGGCAGCGGCGGCACCGCGUCCGGUCCUCGAGCGUAUGGGGCUUUGUCACCCGCUCUGUAGGCCCGGCCGGCGCUUGCCGAUCAACCAAAUUUUUAUCCAGGUUGACCUCGGAUCAGGUAGGGAUACCCGCUGAACUUAAGCAUAUCAAUAAGCGGAGGA